rnacentral:rRNA from 1 species
UUGACAGGUUGACCUCGAAUCAGGUAGGAAUACCCGCUGAACUUAAGCAUAUCAAUAAGCAGAA